GACGAACGCUGGCGGCGUGCUUAACACAUGCAAGUCGAACGGAAAGGCCCUGCUUGUUUGGGGUGCUCGGGUGGCGAACGUGUGAGUAACACGUGAGUAACCUGCCCUUGACUUUGGGAUGACUUCAGGAAACUGGGGCUAAUACCGGAUAGGAGCUCCUGCUGCAUGGUGGGGGUUGGAAAGUUUCGGCGGUUGGGGAUGGACUCGCGGCUUAUCAGCUUGUUGGUGGGGUAGUGGCUUACCAAGGCUUUGGCGGGUAGCCGGCCGGAGAGGGUGACCGGCCACAUUGGGACUGAGAUGCGGCCCAGACUCCUACGGGAGGCAGGAGUGGGGAAUAGUGCACAAUGGGCGGAAGCCUGAUGCAGCAACGCCGCGUGGGGGAUGACGGCCUUCGGUUUGUAAACCGCUUUCGCCUGUGACGAAGCGUGAGUGACGGUAAUGGGUAAAGAAGCACCGGCUAACUACGUG
rnacentral:rRNA from 1 species